rnacentral:rRNA from 1 species
UGGGGAAUUUUGGACAAUGGGCGAAAGCCUGAUCCAGCAAUGCCGCGUGUGUGAAGAAGGCCUUCGGGUUGUAAAGCACUUUUGUCCGGAAAGAAAUGGCUCUGGUUAAUACCUGGGGUCGAUGACGGUACCGGAAGAAUAAGGACCGGCUAACUACGUGCCAGCAGCCGCGGUAAUACGUAGGGUCCAAGCGUUAAUCGGAAUUACUGGGCGUAAAGCGUGCGCAGGCGGUUGUGCAAGACCGAUGUGAAAUCCCCGAGCUUAACUUGGGAAUUGCAUUGGUGACUGCACGGCUAGGGUGUGUAAGAGGGGGGUAGAAUUCCACGUGUAGCAGUGAAAUGCGUAGAGAUGUGGAGGAAUACCGAUGGCGAAGGCAGCCCCCUGGGAUAACACUGACGCUCAUGCACGAAAGCGUGGGGAGCAAACAGG